GGCGUAGGGGGCCAGCGUUGUUCGGAAUUACUGGGUGUAAAGGGUUCGUAGGCGGUGUGGCAAGUCGGGAGUGAAAUCUCUGGGCUCAACUCAGAGACUGCUUCCGAAACUGCUGUGCUGGAGUGUGGGAGAGGCGCGUGGAAUUGCAGGUGUAGCGGUGAAAUGCGUAGAUAUCUGCAGGAACACCCGUGGCGAAAGCGGCGCGCUGGACCACUACUGACGCUGAGGAACGAAAGCUAGGGGAGCAAACAGG
rnacentral:rRNA from 1 species